GCGGAUUUAGCUCAGUUGGGAGAGCGCCAGACUGAAGAAAACUUCGGUCGUUUGAAAUCUGGAGGUCCUGUGUUCGAUCCACAGAAUUCGCA
rnacentral:tRNA from 1 species